AGGGUCCAGAAGGUACAGGAAUACCUGGUCUCCAAGGUCCAAAGGGUGACAGAGGCCCACCUGGUGUACCUGGAACGAAGGGCAUCAAGCUAUAUGCAACAGGACUCAAGGAGCUCAAAGGGGAUCCUGGGGAUCCUGGAAAUCCAGGAUGGCCUGGAAAUCCAGGCACAUGGGGAGAGGACGGUCGCAAAGGGAAAAAAGGAGACCGAGG